rnacentral:lncRNA from 1 species
ACCUUCAUCCCCAGCUCUCUAGCUGCCGUCUCGCAUCUUUCUCCAGGGCACCUUCAUCCCCAGCUCUCUAGCUGCCGUCUCGCAUCUUUCUCCAGGGCACCUUCAUCCCCAGCUCUCCAGCUGCCGUCUCGUCAGCUUCCCCUUGCAGCUCUUCCUCUCCCUCCCCAUCUAAGGGAGGCAAUUUACACUCAAGAUCUCGCAUACUCUUUCUGAAAGCAGGGGUGGUUGAAGGUGUGGCUCCUAGAUAGAUCGAAGCUGCAAAUUUGGGGUAUCUUUUUAGUUCUCACACUCAAACAGGAAGGCCACUUGAGUUACACCUACUUCUGCACAUGACUCGCUUCAGAUGAAGCAAUACUUGCCGCUGGGGCAGAGGAAGGGAGAAGCAUGAGGUCACCUAGAGGAAACUGCACAGAAGCUCCUCUUGCCUGGCAGACAGGCUCAGGAGCAGCCAAGGACGCAGGCUGACCAUGCCUCUAAUUAGAUCAUGAACCUCUGUGAGCUACUUCAAAGAAAGCACUCUCCCGGCAUUGGUGGAAGGCACUCAGCAGGACUCAAGACCCUGCCUGGCAUUCAUUCCCUAUUUUUCACUAUUGCCUCUCCCAAGUACAGUGUAAGUCCCUUGACAGCAGAAAUGCUGCCAAAUGCUCCUGCAUUCUCUAUUCCUGCCACGGAACUAGGACAGAGACGGCGCUGAUGGAAACCAGUUAAAAUAUUCUGGUUUCGUAAUGAACACUCAGGAGCUUACAGGAUGAAAAAAUAAACACACAGAAAAGAGUGGUAAUAAUUUUUAAUAGUUUACAGCUACAGUAUCAGGUUUAAUGAAUAUAUAUGUAUAAAUAGAGUUACAGGCCAUAAAUAUCCAUAUAGCAAAGUAUCUGCCUCUAGGCAGAGAGAGCAAAAAAAACAAAAACUUUGCAACUAAAUAAACUAACAGCUUUAAGUAAUACUGAAGGAAAACAGAUGCUGAGGUAAUUUUUCGUCUAAAGUGACUACAGCCUAUAUUAAAACAUUCUUACUGUAAGAGUUCAAGUAGUUAUGAAACCCUAGUCUCAUAACCCAAAACUGAACUUUUCACUAACAGACAUUUUAAACUAAACAAAAAAUAUUUUAAUUAUAAAUAGGUAAAAUAAAUAAAAUUAUUCCUGCUGAAAUUUAAUCAUGACAUUAUUACUUCUUUUUCAUAUAUUUGGGGACUUUUUUGAUAGCCUGGCCUCUUAAUAAUUUUUAAAAAAUGAAAUACGUGAAACUCUUCUCAGACUCUACAUAUUAAUAUUACUCUAAUGCAAAUUAUAUAUGUGUAUAUAUAUUCAUGUAUGUAAAUGGAUUUUCAUUCUGGAUGAGCAAUCUGUUCCUUUUUUAAAAAAAAAAAAAGUAAAUCCCAAUUAUGAAACAUGCUUAAUUUCUCCUAAAAGAUCACUUUAUAUAGGCUGCUUACUAGUUGACUAGCAUGAGAAAGGGCAUUUUAUAGAUUUUAAAAACUUCUGUAGGAAACACGUUCAUCUCCUUACCAACAGUUACUAUAGAACAUUUGUUUUGCAAAGUUUUAAUUACAACAGUAAAAAAUCGAAUUCAUUUUUUUUUCAUUAUUCCUGGUUGUGCAAAAAUCCCCAUACUCUUUAUCCUUCAAUAUUCAACCUGCAAGAAUUUUACUGGCACCAAGUAACAUUCCUAUACGUCUAUCGAGUUUUUUCAAAGUAGACACUUUCCAGUUGUGGCCCACAGGAACACAUUUAAUGAAAGGUCCUCUGAACAGAAGCAAUACAUUUUGAGUCAAAAGAAACAAACUACCAGGUUAUUUUAUAAUUUGUAGUGACCUAUAAAAUCGACAUUCACUAUGACAUUCAGUGUUCUCAGAAGGAAACUUUUACUUUUAAAAAAAUUAUAUAUAUAAACCAAAUAUACACUGUUCUGGAGUCGUCAUCCAAAAGUAGAAGCAAACACUGAACAUCCUCCGUUUGCUGACCCCACCAAGUCUAACCAUUUGUCAACUCCUCUUUAUGCUAGGCUGAGCAGCAACUUUCAGCAAAAAUACUACAACGAUUCCCUAAGCAAAACAAAAUGUAUACAUACUUAAUUCCCUAUUUUCAAAGUUCCUCCAUUCUUGUUUUAAAAUAAACAAAGUGGUUUUACAAUGUUCUCAUAUCCCAAAGAAUGACUUCUGGGAAACCUCCAACAGAAAUUCAUUUUUGACGUAUUCUAUCUUCGUUUCCAAGGGCAUCCAAAAGCGAACAAGAGUGCCUUCACAUUGCUCUCCACGUCAAGACAGUCUCUCCUCUAAUUGAUGGGGAUCAACACCUUCCAUUUUAAGGGGGUCUCCUCAUCCAGAGGCUCCUGGAGCAGUCAGGUUCCUGAGCGGAAGAGUUUGGCUAUGAGAUUCAGAAGUUUCUGCCGGAAAUUCAGUUUGUCUCCAAUUCUCCUAAUUUGAAUGGCACACUCAGCCUCAAGCUCUGAAAAGGAAAGCAAGACAUGCAAAUUACACUGACGAUAUUACAAACUGCAGCCAGCAAGGUUCUGCCCAGCCAAAGGAUAAAUUGAGUAUUUAUUCCAUGAAGCAUUUCUCUUAACUUCAGCUUUAUGUACACUUGUUUUCUGAAUGUGAGAAAGGCUACUUAGAACACACACUCACGACAUAAGAUAACACAUUGUGACUCAUAAACAAAAAAAAAUAGUUAAGGUAAGAAAAAAGACAUUUACUUUGAAACAUUUUUUUUAAAAGCAUUCUGGAUGAGGCAAAUAGUAUCUUACUUUCACAUACGGCCAUUUAAAGUGUCAAACACCACAAAGAGUGAGUAAGCCUUUGCCAGACUUAAAAGGUGAUGUCAUCCUUUUCUCUCUCAUUUAAGGUUGGUUGGGGGAACAGAAGUCAAAUUCUAAACUCUUGUGUUGUUUUCAAGUAGGAUUUAUCUUUAAAUGGCAAGAAGUCAUAGCUCGGAUUAUGCCCUCAUUAAUAGGCCAAUCUAAAUAAAUGUAUUCUUUCCUCAUUGGAAAAACUCAUUGAAAUUUUCUCAUAAAAGACUCAUAAAAUCUUAUUCCAAAGUUAAGAUCACAUUCUCUAAAAUAAUUUAGAAGUUUGCAUUUUACUCUGAGCCAAAUUCUUCGUAUGAGCCCAAUCUGCACCAAUCCAUUGCUUUUAUGGAGAUGAGGUAAGCAGAAAAUAAGUGACAUCUAUCUCAUGUUAACUACUUUUUAGAAUUGAGAUAUUAUAAUUAACUGAAUAUUAACAAGAAAAAUAAUGCUUAUAAUCUAAUUUCCAAGUAGAUAUUUUUGGGUAAAUGAAAUUAACACCAAAUCUAUACUGACCAUAAUUUCAAUUUUCUUGGAUAUUUCAAAGAGCAACUUAGACUCUUUUUGGUCCACUUUAAGAUCAUGAUUAUGAACAUUAAAAAUCAUUAUGACCACAAAUUAAAAUCCAGUUUAUUUUGUAAAUAGACCCUGCAAAGACUCUAUUUAGGCUCAAAAUAAAUGAAAACUGCAAAUGUAUGGUAAAGCAGAUUUUUAAAUCUACAUUUCAACCAAUUUCUCUUUCUACAAGAGGUGGGUGAAAUUUUCAUAAUCCCUAACAAGAGACCUAAUAAAUCUCCUAAGAUGCCAUUCUUUUAGGCUACAGAGUCAAACAUUUUGAGAAGUAUUUAUAAACACAUGUUCUUUUCAUUGAGUGGGAUAUAUGAACACACCAAAAACAUAAUUAUCCUAAAAAAAUAAUUAUCAUCCAACAUGAAAUUUUGGAAGCCCUGAAUUAUAAAAGGAAAAAUUAUCCCUUUCACCAAAAAAAAGGGCAAAAAGAAGCUCCUAGUUGUUUCCUUAACCUUGUUGUUACAGUUACACAUCUAUAAACGUACUAAUCGUUUUUAAAAAUUUGUAAUUAUGUGUGGUGACUGUUAACUAAGCUUCUUGGGGUAAUUAUGUCACCAUAUAAACAUAUACCAAAUCAUUAUGUUGUACACAAAAAACUAAUCCAACGUUCUAGGUCACUGAUAUCUCAAUUAAAAUUAUUACUAUCUAAUCAAGUUUAAGAGGGACCUUGCUGCUGUUUCUUGUGAUUUGGGACUAGGUUGGAUCAGUGAGGUUAUGCAUAGGUUAGACCUUUUGAAAACAUGAUUAGAAGUCUUGGGCCAUCACAAAAGGUGGACAAAGCUUUUUCUCUCCCAAGGGAGACCCAGACAGCAGCCUGGUGCCAACUUAGCCAUGGCCACACUGGAAACGUACCACUUUCUUUGCACGCCCCACGGGCUCUAUAAAAUGAAACUAAAUUAAAAGGGGGCCUAUCACAGUCUGAUGUAAUAGCAGUAAGACUCACAGGGAUUUCCAGCCGAGCCCUACUGUCGCCUCUGCGGCUGCCCCUUAGCAGAUAGCCGCCUUGUCGGUUCUGGGAAGGAAGCUGGGAGGACACUUCUUAUUCAGAACUGAUCGGGAGGAAUGAUCUACAGGUAGAUGACGGAGCCAUCCUGUUCGCCCGGAGUCAGAGGAGAGAUGCUUUCAAACAUCUUCAUGGAGAAAGAUGCCGCUUAACACUACUCUGCUGAUGCGGC